rnacentral:lncRNA from 10 species
AAUUGGAGUGUCCAUGAUAAUAUGAAAGUCAGUAAAUCCCAGUGAUUAGAAAUUUGGACUUUACAGUUCAACACACUUAGGUUCAUAUUUCUGCCCCUCUGCUUUCUAGCUCUGUGGCCCUACAUGGGUCACUAAAAAUCUUUGACAAUCAUUUUUACCAUCUGUGAAAUGGGGUUAGUCUUGUUGGGAGAACGAAAUCAAAUAAUGCAUAUAAAAUAUUUGGCACACAGUGAAUGCUAGAAAAAUUGCUGGCUGUUAAUACAUGUAUAAAUGAUGAUCAUGGUGAUUUUAUAUACUCAUAAUUCUAGGUGCCAGUCCAAAUACAGACACAUGAGAAUGUGGAUAGAUCCUCGAGUUCUCUCCGAACCUUCCUUCCAUGAAGUUAUAUACUCUAUAGAAUCAGUGGGUGAGUUGAUUUAGGAGAGGUGCCAGUAUGAGCCUGGAGUAGCUUACUUGGUCAGAUCCAAAAUAUGGGUUUGGCUAAAUAUAGGGAUCUAGGGGAGAAGGUGGAAAACGCUUGCUGGGCCAAUGCCAAGUAUGAAGCAAUGCUGACCUUGGCAAUUUUUAGCAUCCAAUUUUCACCCGUUAAGAGAGGAAGGUUAAAAGGUAUAAAUAAAUGCAAAGGCCAUAAUAAAAUCAUUGUGGAAUUAAAACAUUAAGCCCAUGGGCUCUUAAUUAUAAAAUAGCAAUAUAUUGUUUACAAACGUUCUUAUAUUAGGGACUUAGGGAUUUCACAGGAUGCUUUUUUUCUUUUCUUUUCUUUUCAGGGACAGCAUCACUUUUGCUCUGCUGCUCAGGCUGGAGGGCAGCAGCAUGACCUUGGCUCACUGCAGCCUCCACCUCCUGGGCUCAAGCAAUUCUCCCACCUCAGCCUCCUGAAUAGCUGGAGUCUCAAUAUGUUGCCCAGGCUGGUCUCAAACUCCUACCUCAACUGAUCUUCCAACCCCAGCCUUCCAAAGUGUUGGGAUUACAGGCACAAGCCACCGUGUCUGGCCAGGAUGCUUGUCUUAAAAACAAAGAUUUACUACCAGCAACCUGGCUGGCCCAAAAUGUGACUGGCAGCUUAUUUUAUAUUCCCCAUACACAUUAAAUGUAGAAAAUUAGUAACUAUUAGAUUUGAUUAAAUAUUAAAAUGUCAUAUUGUUCAGCCAAUGAACAAAUUGUUUUCAAGCUGCUCUGGGGGGAAUGACUAGCCUGCUACCUUUUUAUGGUGUUAGUUAUAUGGUAUUUUCUCUUCCUCCCUUCAUAGUAAAAAUCCUUGAAGGCUUACUCUCCUUGAGAACACUUCCUCAUGGGUUUUUGAAUCUCCAGCUCUUUCCUCUCCCAGGGCAACACAAUUAGUGACAUAACAGAGACAGAUGAAAGGGAUUGCAGAAGCAGAGAGAGCAUCCUGACUAAUUGAAUCUGCAAAUGGUGAAGAAGCCCUUCCAGGGGUGAUGCUGUGAGCUGAAUUGUGUAUUAGUAGGAAUUUCUCGGUUCAACACACAGAGAAAUAACAAGUUUUCUGUUGUA